rnacentral:rRNA from 1 species
GAUGAACGCUAGCGGCAGGCCUAAUACAUGCAAGUCGAACGGGAUCCAGAUCAAAGCUUGCUUUGGUCUGGUGAGAGUGGCGCACGGGUGCGUAACGCGUGAGCAACCUACCCUUGUCAGGGGGAUAGCCCGGCGAAAGUCGGAUUAAUACCGCAUGACAUCAUUGAGAGGCAUCUUUCGAUGAUCAAAGAUUUAUCGGACAAGGAUGGGCUCGCGUGACAUUAGCUAGUUGGUAAGGUAACGGCUUACCAAGGCUGCGAUGUCUAGGGGCUCUGAGAGGAGAAUCCCCCACACUGGUACUGAGACACGGACCAGACUCCUACGGGAGGCAGCAGUAAGGAAUAUUGGUCAAUGGACGGAAGUCUGAACCAGCCAUGCCGCGUGCAGGAGGACGGCCCUAUGGGUGGUAAACUGCUUUUAUACGGGAACAAACGUUGGUACGUGUACCGGCCUGAGUGUACCGUAAGAAUAAGGAUCGGCUAACUCCGUG